rnacentral:rRNA from 1 species
AGAGUUUGAUUCUGGCUCAGAGUGAACGCUGGCGGCGUGCCUAAGACAUGCAAGUCGUACGAGAAAGCACCUUCGGGUGUAAGUAAAGUGGCGCACGGGUGAGUAACACUUGGGUAACCUACCCAUCAGAGGGGGAUAACUGAGGGAAACUUCAGCUAAUACCGCGUACGUCGGAGAGAACUGCGGUUCUUUUCGAGAAAGCCGUAAGGCGCUGAUGGACGGGCCCGAGGCCUAUUAGCUUGUUGGUGGGGUAACGGCCUACCAAGGCGACGAUAGGUAGCUGGUUUGAGAGAAUGAUCAGCCACACUGGUACUGGAACACGGACCAGACUCCUACGGGAGGCAGCAGUUAGGAAUUUUGCGCAAUGGGGGAAACCCUGACGCAGCAACGCCGCGUGAGUGAGGAAGGCCUUCGGGUUGUAAAGCUCUUUCAGUAAGGAAGAAACAAAUGACGGUACUUACAGAAGAAGCACCGGCUAACUCCGUGCCAGCAGCCGCGGUAAUACGGAGGGUGCGAGCGUUACUCGGAUUUACUGGGCGUAAAGAGCACGUAGGUGGUUUGGUAAGUUUGAUGUGAAAGCCCUGGACUCAAUCCAGGAUGUGCAUUGAAUACUGCCAGACUCGAGUACAGGAGAGGUGAGCGGAAUUCCAGGUGUAGAGGUGAAAUUCGUAGAUAUCUGGAGGAACAACGGAGGCGAAGGCGGCUCACUGGACUGUUACUGACACUGAGGUGCGAAAGCGUGGGGAGCGAACGGGAUUAGAUACCCCGGUAGUCCACGCCGUAAACGAUGGAUACUAGGUGUCGGGGGCUACUUACCCCCUCGGUGCCGUAGCUAACGCGUUAAGUAUCCCGCCUGGGGACUACGGCCGCAAGGUUAAAACUCAAAGAAAUUGACGGGGGCCCGCACAAGCGGUGGAGGAUGUGGUUUAAUUCGAUUCAACGCGAAAAACCUUACCUGGACUUGACAUCCCUCGCUAUCCUGGGAAACCAGGAGUUCCCUUCGGGGACGAGGUGACAGGUGUUGCAUGGCUGUCGUCAGCUCGUGUCGUGAGAUGUUGGGUUAAGUCCCGCAACGAGCGCAACCCUUGCCAUUAGUUGCUACCAUUUAGUUGGGCACUCUAGUGGGACCGCUCGCCGAUAAGGCAGAGGAAGGAGGGGAUGACGUCAAGUCAGCAUGGCCCUUACGUCCAGGGCUACACACGUCCUACAAUGGCCAGCACAGAGCGUAGCAAAACCGCAAGGUGGAGCCAAUCGCAGAAAACUGGUCUCAGUUCGGAUUGGGGUCUGCAACUCGACCCCAUGAAGUUGGAAUCGCUAGUAAUCGCGGAUCAGCAUGCCGCGGUGAAUACGUUCCCGGGCCUU